AAUGAUUAUAGACAUCUCAAACCUCUGGCCUGUGGGCCAUUUCUGGCCUGGCACUGCAGCCUGUAGUUUGUCGUUUCAAAUUCAAAAAUGUAGUUUUUACUGAUCAAUUUACUAUCAAAUAUUUUUUAAAUAACAUUUUUUUUGUUGUUUUGAUUUUGAUAAAUUCUUCCUCUGCAGGGUCGUCUGUUGAACCUCAGCUGUUCCACCGUUCCCACCUUUGUUCUCUCCAUCACAGCCACAACACAGGCUCUGGCUCUGAUAGAGUUGUACAACGCUCCUGAGGGACGUUACAAGCAGGACGUUUACCUGCUGCC